AUUAACGCACGCGGGAGCGCACACCAACUGCGCUGAGAGGACGGCUGGAGGCCGUCGACCGUAGGAACCUGACCGGAUAAUGCCGGCGUAGGGAGAUGACAGGGAGAUGACA
rfam:Mycobacterium marinum M, complete genome.